UGCCCAGCAACUCCUAUCCCUUACCUCCGCGUGGCACCGGUCGGACUUCGAGCAACUUUAGAGAAGAUCUCGGGUAACCAACCCAUGUGGGAAAUUUGGUCGUAGGCUGACAGGAAGGG
rnacentral:ribozyme from 1 species